GACAGAGGGUGCAAACGUUGCUCGGAAUCACUGGGCGUAAAGGGCGUGUAGGCGGGACAGUAAGUCGGGCGUGAAAAUCCCUGGGCUCAACCCAGGAACUGCACUCGAAACUACUAUUCUUAGUGUCGGAGAGGAAAGCGGAAUUCCUGGUGUAGAGGUGAAAUUCGUAGAUAUCAGGAGGAACACCAGUGGCGAAGGCGCUUUCUGGACGUAUA
rnacentral:rRNA from 1 species